GACGAACGCUGGCGGCAUGCCUAACACAUGCAAGUCGAACGAAACCUUCGUGUCUUGUGGCGCACGGGUGCGUAACGCGUGGGAACCUGCACGUAGGUUCGGUAUAACUCCCCGAAAGGUGUGCUAAUACCGGAUAAUGUCUUCGGACCAAGGAUUUAUUGCCUUUGGAUGGGCCCGCGUUGGAUUCGCUGGUUGGUAGGGUAAAAGCCUCCCAUGGCGAGGUUCCAUGGCUGGUCGGGGAGGAGGACAAACCACGCUGGGCCUGCGACACGGACCAGAAUCCUACGGGAGGGAGGGGAAUGGAAUAUUAGAGAAGGGGGGAAAGUGUGAUACAGCCACGCGGCGUGAGUGAGGAAGGGCGUAGUGUUGUAAAGCCGUUUUACCCGAGAUGAUAAUGACAGUACCGGGAGAAUAAGCACCGGCUAACUACGUG
rnacentral:rRNA from 1 species